rnacentral:tRNA from 1 species
UAGAUAAAGGCCUGUUGGUUUAGGUUUUUAGCUGUUAACUAAAAUGUUGUGGGAUCGAGGCCCACUUAUCUAU